rnacentral:hammerhead_ribozyme from 1 species
GUACUGCUGAAGAGUCCUAAAGAGCCAGGACGAAACAGCUGUCAAGUAC